ACGGAAUAGAUACCCAGGUAGUCCACGCCCUAAACGAUGUCGACUGGUUGUUGGGGGUUUGACACUCUCAGUAAACGAAAGCUAAACGCGUGAAGUCGACCGCCUGGGGAGUACGGCCGCAAGGUUAAAACUCAAAGGAAUUGACGGGGACCCGCACAAGCGGUGGAUUAUGUGGAUUAAUUCGAUGCAACGCGAAAAACCUUACCUACCCUUGACAUGUCCUGAAUCCUGGAGAGAUCCGGGGGUGCCCGAAAGGGAACGGGAACACAGGUGCUGCAUGGCUGUCGUCAGCUCGUGUCGUGAGAUGUUGGGUUAAGUCCCGCAACGAGCGCAACCCUUGUCAUUAGUUGCUACCGCAAGGAGCACUCUAAUGAGACUGCCGGUGACAAACCGGAGGAAGGUGGGGAUGACGUCAAGUCCUCAUGGCCCUUAUGGGUAGGGCUUCACACGUAAUACAAUGGUCGGUACAGAGGGUUGCCAAGCCGCGAGGCGGAGCCAAUCCCAGAAAGCCGAUCGUAGUCCGGAUCGCAGUCUGCAACUCGACUGCGUGAA
rnacentral:rRNA from 1 species